rnacentral:rRNA from 1 species
GGCGUGCACGCUGGCGGCGUGCCUAAUACAUGCAGUCGAGCGAACAGAUAAGGAGCUUGCUCCUUUGACGUUAGCGGCGGACGGGUGAGUAACACGUGGAUAACCUACCUAUAAGACUGGGAUAACUUCGGGAAACCGGAGCUAAUACCGGAUAACAUAUUGAACCGCAUGGUUCAAUAGUGAAAGGCGGCUUUGCUGUCACUUAUAGAUGGAUCCGCGCCGUAUUAGCUAGUUGGUAAGGUAACGGCUUACCAAGGCAACGAUACGUAGCCGACCUGAGAGGGUGAUCGGCCACACUGGAACUGAGACACGGUCCAGACUCCUACGGGAGGCAGCAGUAGGGAAUCUUCCGCAAUGGGCGAAAGCCUGACGGAGCAACGCCGCGUGAGUGAUGAAGGUCUUCGGAUCGUAAAACUCUGUUAUCAGGGAAGAACAAAUGUGUAAGUAACUGUGCACAUCUUGACGGUACCUGAUCAGAAAGCCACGGCUAACUACGUGCCAGCAGCCGGUUAAUUAC